rnacentral:rRNA from 1 species
UCACCUGUUUUUCAAAAACAUGUCUUAAAGAAAUUUAAUUUUAAGUCUAAUCUGCUCAAUGAAUAAUUUUUAAUAGCUGCAGUAUAAAUAACUGUACUAAGGUAGCAUAAUAAUUUGUUUUUUAAUUUAAAACUAGAAUGAAUGAUUUAAUGAAAUAUAAACUGUCUCAAAAUAAUUAAUUUAAAUUAUUUUUUAAGUUAAAAAACUUAAAUUAAUUUUAAAGACGAGAAGACCCUAAAGAAUUUUUUUUAUUUAUUUUUUUUUUAAAAAAUUUAAUAAUUUAAUUGGGGAAAUUUUAAAAUUUAAUUAAUUUUUUUUUAAUUUUAAACAAUUAUUUUUGAAUAUUAAAUAUUUAUUAAAAAAUUUAAUUAAAUUACCUUAGGGAUAACAGCAUAAUUUUUUUUUUAAGUUCAAAUUUAUAUUAAAGUUUAUGACCUCG